UUGGGCAGAUAUGAAUCUAAGAGUCACAAUCAUGUCCUUAGAACUCAGUCUCAUUCUCUUUCCAGCCUCCGGUUGUGUCUUCCUGGGUGUCAACUUUAUUCUCAGAGAAGUUCUCACUAGGCAAAGGCCAGAGAAGCUGCAGACUUCAUCUAAUCUUAGUGGCCCCCAAUGGUUUCUCUUUCCUAAUAGUCACAACCAAAGCCCCAGGAUUGUGUUUCACUGGAAAGAUUUGGGUCAUGUAUGUGUUCCUGGACUAAUCAUUGUGGUUGACAGAUAUAAUAUACUGAUCCAGUAUCAAUGAAAGACCUGAAGAUGAUGAUGAUGAUGAUGAUGAUGAAGGGGAUGAUGAUCCAGCUGUAUACAACCAAGACAAUUAUAUCUGCUCCGCUGCCUUACCCUGGUUAUAAAAUCCUUAUCCCUUAUCUCUUAGAGGGGAUUUUCAGUUGUUCUUGCCUGGUGCCUCUCAGCUUUUGGAAAAUUCUUUCCCCAGCAAUCUUUCCCUUGCCCACUUCUUGAAACCAGUUACAUUCUUCCAGACACCAGUGUCCAUGAAGCAAAAAAUGAAGAUCUCUUUCUUGCCUGUAGAAUUCAAAUGGACAUUUUCAAGUGCAGCAAAGAUGGGGAAAUAAGACAUGUGUUUUCUGAGGAAAUUCAUAAGUUGCCUUUCAGCAGCCAGGAGGAUGGCUAGAGAAGAGGAUCAAGGAGACAAGUGUGAAUGGAUACGACGGACCCUCAGUUCCGCCUGAAGAAGCCAGGGUAGGGAGGAAGAGAAGAGACCAAUCAUCUCAGAGUAGGGACAUCUGUCAGCACAUUCCUGAUGAUGCAUGGGGUCUCAUUACACACAGUGUUUGAGAAAAGGCAAUGAAGUCAAUUAAGAACUGUAAUUUACUGAGAUCCUUGGGGAAUGAGAGAAGGCUGGUUAUGGAUAAUGCCCACCUCUGGUAGACUGGGGCCUGGCCUGAACUCCUUUCUUGGCUUUCACUAACAUGCUCAAAAGUCAUUGUAAAACAAAUUAUAAUGAGACAGUAUCUCUCACAUAAAUUAUGUUUGUUUUUUUUUAUAAAUUAUGUUUUAAAGUAGUAAUAGGGCGUGAUCAAAAUGACCCUAGCAAAUCCCCUAAAUGACCCACAAAGAACAGCUCUUGUACUUUUGUGUUCAUAGCCCUGUAUAAUAUCGUGGAUAUACAAGCAAUUAAUAUAUAUGUUAAUGUUCAUUAUAAAUUGAAGAUUUAUCAUGCAAAAUAUAAUUUCACAGUAUUUUUGAAUACUCUGUUUCUGGUGUUUUGUUUGU